GCAUUAUAAAUUUUAGGUUUUCUUUUUAGAUGCUUUUAUUUUUCAAAAUUAUUCUAUCCUUCUUUCAUAAAAGUGUGAUAUGCAGCAUAUCAAAGAUGUGGGAACAGUGGAAGGGCACAGAGGAGCUCAAGGCCUUGUUUUUGGGCAUGUUUAUGGCAAAGCCUUUUUUAAUUUGCAACACCAUCCAAAGAUCCACUUUUUUGCAACGAGUAUACAAAGAAAUCACAAAAAUAUGACUAAUAUUCUAAAAACUAUGACUAAUAUUGAUUUUUGUAAAUGGGAAAUGUUCCAAAUUGUCAGCUGAGAUAUCUGUAUAUGUUUUGUUUGAUGAGGAUUUUGCUGUGGUGAUUUGUUGUCUUAAUAUCAUUUAAAGUGGUUGGAAACUUGCUUAAUAUGUCCAGGAAACUCAGGAGAUAUAUUUAACAUAUGCAAAAGGAGUGAAAGAAGCAAAACUUAAGAUUGCUGCAACUAAGAAAAAGUGUGAAGUUGCGGAAUUAGAAGGCAAAAGUUGUUCCUUCAACUGUGUCCCCUUUACAAUGGAGGACCAUGAUGCUCUUAUAAAAUGAAGAACUGAGGUUGAUGAAGCACACGCUGACACGGUCAUGUUAAAGAGGACAAAUAAAAAAGAGAAAUUAGGAUGCGAUGCCACGAGAAUCAAUCCAGAGUUUGUGGACAAUAAUGGGAUGAUAUUUUAGAACUUGCAACAUGACAAUGAUGAACCUGUUAUUCUGUUGUAAGUCCUGCAGAGAAGGAUGAGGUUGAUAAAUAUAUUUCUUCAAGGACUACAAGACUUAAUAGCCGCAAGGAUUCUCACCUGCUUGUGAGCGAAUCAAGUUCGCAGGACUUUUGAGUGAAUAAUGUUAUUAUUGUUAAGAGGAUAUAUAUUGGCCAAAAUACUUAUUUCAUACGGCUCUUCUUUCAGUGAUGGAGUAUUGGUUUUGGUAGAAAUCUUUCUCUGGUGAUGGCCCUUUUAGUGGAACACAAAAUGAAAUGUCUUUUUUUUAUUCUGUAUAUUUCCAAUUUAAUAAAGAAUUUUAGAUCUUUUAUCUUGAUCGAUUAUUAGUAAUGUAGACUUUUAUUUAAUAAGAAUUUUAUGAUUACUUUUCUUUUUU